rnacentral:rRNA from 1 species
UCAACCGCAAAACAAGCAGAGGGGGCUUAGUGGUGGGGUGACUGCGUACCUUUUGUAUAAUGGGUCAGCGACUUAUAUUCUGUAGCAAGGUUAACCGAAUAGGGGAGCCGGAGGGAAACCGAGUCUUAAUUGGGCGUUAAGUUGCAGGGUAUAGACCCGAAACCCGGUGAUCUAGCCAUGGGCAGGUUGAAGGUUGGGUAACACUAACUGGAGGACCGAACCGACUAAUGUUGAAAAAUUAGCGGAUGACCUGUGGCUGGGGGUGAAAGGCCAAUCAAACCGGGAGAUAGCUGGUUCUCCCCGAAAGCUAUUUAGGUAGCGCCUCGUGAAUUCAUCUCCGGGGGUAGAGCACUGUUUCGGCUAGGGGGCCAUCCCGGCUUACCAACCCGAUGCAAACUGCGAAUACCGGAGAAUGUUAUCACGGGAGACACACGGCGGGUGCUAACGUCCGUCGUGAAGAGGGAAACAACCCAGACCGCCAGCUAAGGUCCCAAAGUCAUGGUUAAGUGGGAAACGAUGUGGGAAGGCCCAGACAGCCAGGAUGUUGGCUUAGAAGCAGCCAUCAUUUAAAGAAAGCGUAAUAGCUCACUGGUCGAGUCGGCCUGCGCGGAAGAUGUAACGGGGCUAAACCAU